GCUGGGUGCAGUGGCUCAUGCCUGUAAUCCCAGUGUCUCUGGAGGCCGAGGCAGGAGGAUUGUGAGUUCAAAGCCAGCCUCAGCAAUUUAGGGAGGCCCUAAGCAGUUUAGUGAGACCCUGUCUCUA
rnacentral:sRNA from 1 species